ensembl:lncRNA
GGGCGUGGCUCAGGCCCCGCCCCUCACGGCCCCUGGUUUCCGGGAACCGGGGCGCGGGGCGGGGCUUCCGGACGGGCUGGCGUCCCCGGGUUCUCGUCCCGGUCCGGGUCGGUUGCCUUGCGUCCCGUACUCCCCUACGGGCCUGGCCCUGGCUCUGCCCUUCCUUCGCCAGCUGCCUGCCUUGCUUGAUGCCCUUUCGGGCCUCGUGCCUUCGGUGUCCCGCCGGUCACUCCCGGGCCUUAACCCCCGUCUUCCCCCGGGCACUCGGCUGACCUCUGCUCGCCCGCACAUGGCCUGGGCAGGCCGCUGAAGGGUGCAGUCUUGGGCCUUGGAAAAAGUGUCCUGGGCGGGGGCAGCUGUCCUUGGCCUUUCGAGAACUCGCACUGGGAGGGGUGCCGCCUUCUUCCUCUGUGAGCCAUGUGAUGUCCUGCUUUUCUCCCUUCCUGUGUGAAGCCUGCUCCUUUUCCCUGAGUCUGUAAGUCUGGAGAGAACUGGAACUGGAUCUCGGGAGCUUCAGAGAGGAGUCAGACUGGGUGGCUGCUUCCUAACUUGGUUGGAUCUCUCUCCAUCUUGGUUGGACCCCAGGAACCCUUGCCCUGGCUCCUCAAUUGCAGUCUGGUCAGGGGCCACCGAGCCCAGCCAGUGCCACCCAGCCUGUGCAGAGCUGUUGAAGACUUGUUGCCCCUGAGGAGACCAGGCUCCAGCAGCAAGGCCACACCGAGGUCCCAGACCUCAGUCACAUCCGGGUCCCCCUUGCCCAGCCAGGUGCAGACUUAGCCUGUAGUUGGCCCUGUGGCCCCCUUCUGCUCCCUCUCUAUGUCCUAGGAGCAGGUUUCUGCUGCCCUGGGCUGCUUGGCCUCCCCUUAUAGGCCUGUAGGCCUGGCACCAGGUGCAGCCUCCCUCAGCUCAGCUGCCUCUUAAACUCCAAGCUGCCCUGGCCCUACCCAUCUCCGCUGCCAGGCCUUCUUUCUUCAUUCCUAAGCAGUUCAGUUCUGACACAUCCCAGCCC